rnacentral:sRNA from 1 species
UAAAAUUAUUAAAGGGAUGGUGCAGUAUUCUAGUCAGUCCUCCGCUCCUGAAGGCGGGCCUAAAAAUCCGCUAAAGGGCACAUCGAUGAAGUUCCUUGUGCCGGCUUGAGGCGCCCAGCCUUGGGUCGGUGCUGGGAGUUAAGGUUUUCGGGCGAUCCGCAAAGGCAUGUGGGCGUUGACCCGAUUACCGUGGAGGCCCAUAUCUGUAGUGUGAACUAAGCCUAGGUUACAUUAUGGAGUGGGGUAUGAACCUGUGUAAUAGGGUAAGGGUAAUCCUAUUUGCAGCGUAGCCUGCCUUGAGUGACGAUGAGGGAAUUAGAGUUUUGAAAUGCAAUCCAAGUGGCCAUUGGAUUGCAAUGUGUCUCUAUGAAAUCAUCUUUGCAAAAGAGGAUAGGGAACGGUUAAAGACUGCCGAGGAAAACUCCUAGACUGUUCAUUGACGUUUAAAGGGCAUUAUAGUGCGGACUAAGUGGCAAUCCAGUCCGGCAUUCGGUGACGGUGCCGAGGUGGAAUUAAAGGGGAACCGCCUAAAUGGCAACAUAGGGUAUCCACUUGGGAAAACCUACUGGACCUAAGCCGCAGUUUUUACCUUUUAAAUGACCAUUCCUACUUACAUAAAA